rnacentral:rRNA from 1 species
GAUUUCUGGCUUGAAACAUUUUGCCGGCCACGGUUUCGUGUGUUAGUGCUUGAUGUUCUGGCCAUCCUUCCAAUCGCUACUCACCUUUCUUCAUUGAUGGGGGAGUGGUAUUGGAUCUUUUACUUUGAAAAAAUUAGAGUGUUUCAAGCAGGCUUUAUGCUAUGAAUACAUUAGCAUGGAAUAAUAAUUUAGGACUUCGGUUCUAUUUUGUUGGUUUCUAGGACUAAAGUAAUGAUUGAUAGGGAUAGUUGGGGGUGCUAGUAUUCAGCGGCCAGAGGUGAAAUUCUUGGAUUCGCUGAAGACUAACUUAUGCGAAAGCAUU